AUGAGAUUUCCCAUUCCGCAAGGAAGUAAGAUCCCUGAAAGAUGAUCAGGUUGAUAGGUCUGAGGUGGAAGUGUGGCGACACAUGGAGCUGACAGAUACUAAUCGAUCGAGGACUUAACCAC
rnacentral:rRNA from 1 species